ensembl:lncRNA
CAUUGCGAAUCCUCUCUUCCCAUUGCAAGUUGCUCAUGUAGGUACUCCUCUAGAUGUUGUACUGAUAGUUCCUUUUCCAUUUGGGAUGUGUUGAUCUCAUUUACUCUCUCUGUUUCCAUAUCUCCAUCCAUUUUUUCAAUUCUUUCCUCAGGUUCAACUGCAAAAGGUAAGUUCUCUUCAGGUUCAACUGCAACAGGUAAGUUUUCCUCGGGUUCCACUGCAACAGGUAAGUUUUCCUCAGGCUCCAAAUACAUGGAACUUCUCUCCACAGAAUUAGGACCGUUUCCAGCAGAGGACACGUCAGGUAAGGUUCCAGGUAAGCUUUGUUGUUCCAUGCCAGGUAGGGUUUCAGAAUCAACAGGUAAGUAUUCAGCUCCAACCCGUGUGCUUCUCCUGCGAGCUGCCUCACCAUUUUCCUUAGGCAUAUCCAUGACUUUAAACAGUGUUGUCUCUACUUCAGAAACUUUGAUGGGGUAAAAUUGAGGAUCCAUAUCAUCAUCAUCCUCUGAACAGGUAAGUUGCUCACUUGGUUGGGAAAAUGUCUGCUUGGUUCUGAGCCUACGUGCGGGUUUUGGCUCGACAACUUCCUCUUCUUCAGAAAGGAAACCACAAGGUAGGAGCAAAUCACGAUGUAAUGUGCGAGUUGGCCCAUCCUGACCUUCAGGACACACCACAUAGAUGGGUAAGUCUCCUGCUCUCUUUUGCACAAUAUAGACUUUUGACUUCCAUCGGUCAGCCAGUUUGUGCUUUUGGCGAAGUCGAAGAUUUCGCACAAGAACUCUGUCUCCUGCCUCAAGUGUGGAUUCUCUUACUCGCACAUCAAACCUCUUUUUGUUCUUAUCAGCCACUUUUUCCGCGUUUUUAGUUGCAAGCUGAUAGCUUUCCCUCAAUUGAGACUUGAGAUUUUUCACAUACUGGGAAUGUGAAGCAGAUGAACUGUCUUUGACUGGUAACCCAAAUGCAAUGUCUAUGGGUAAUCUGGGCUGCCGCCCAAACAUCAAUUCAUAUGGUGAAAACCCUGUGGCAUCGUUUCUCGUGCAAUUGUAUGCAUGAGUGAGUGGUUUGACAUGCUCACGCCACUUUGUCUUCUCCUUUUCCUGCAAGGUUCCCAGCAUGCUCAGUAAUGUGCGAUUAAAUCGCUCCACUGGAUUUCCUCUGGGAUGAUAUGGGCUUGUCCUCACUUUACGGAUGCCGGCCAAAACACAGAGCUCUUUGAUGGUUCGCGACUCAAAAUCGCGCCCCUGAUCACUAUGGAGACGUUCUGGGAACCCAUAGUGACUGAGGAACUGCUCCCAUAGACAUUUGGCAACUGUGCUGGCCUUUUGAUCUCUCGUUGGAAUGGCCACUGCAUACCGUGUAAAGUGGUCGGUGAUAACCAGGAUAUCUUUGGUGUUAUGACUAUCCGGUUCCAAAGACAAAAAGUCCAUACAAACCAGUUCCAUUGGCCUGCUGGUGUGGAUAUUGACCAGAGGUCCAGCUUUCUCUGGCUGACUUUUCCUCUUGACACAUCUCUCACAGUUCUUGAUCUUUGUCUCAAUAUCAGAAGCCAUUUUUGGCCAAUAGAACCUUGACCUAACCAGCUCAAGAGUACGUUCAAUACCCAUAUGUCCCAUCUGGUUAUGGAGACUGGUAAGUACUGAUGACCUUAACACAUGUGGCAGAACAAGUUGGAAAACUGGUCUAUUGUCACACUGUCGUCUCCUGUACAAUAGGUCAUCCUUCAAUUCAAGACGACUCCUCUCCCUGAGCAUCAGCUGAAACUCUGGUGACUCAGCCUUGCAACUGGUAGGUACAGGUUCUUGGGACUGAAUACAUUCUAUGAUGUUUCUGAUAACUGGGUCUGCUCGUUGUAGUUUUGCUAGCUCAUCUGUGCUGUAGUUUGGAACUGUAAGAAGACUUGGGAAUCCUUCCUCCUCAAACUCAGUAGGGACGGCCUUUGGAUGUAUAGCUAGAGACUCUACUAAGCAAGGAUUAGUGAAGUCUUCCUCACCACAAACAAGAAUAUGGCACUGACAGGCCGCCCUGACUGUUUCUUUGCAGCAGAAAUCAUUGCUCUCAGGAUUUAGAUAGUGAGAAGUAAACUCAUGUAUCCUCUGACUUUCGCCCUGAGACUGGUUGUCAUUUAUUAAAUCACCAUGAGGCCUCCUUGACAACCCGUCAGCAUCCUGGUUCUGCUUGCCUGCCCGAUAUGUAAUGUCAAACGUAAAAGUGGACAGUGAAGCUAGCCAACGAUAGCUAGUGGCAUCUAGUUUAGCAGUGGUAAGUAUAUACCUCAGCGGAUUAUUGUCAGUGACAACUUGGAAGUAGUUACCAUACAAGUAGUCGUGGAAUUUUUCAGUGAUAGCCCACUUUAAGGCUAAAAAUUCCAACUUAUGUGCUGGGUAUCUUGCCUCACUGCGUGAUAAUCCUCUACUGGCGUAGGCAAUGACACGGCUCUGUCCAUCCUGUUCCUGAUACAAUGCCGCUCCAAGUCCAGUUGUACUGGCAUCUGUGUGAAGGGUAUAUGGUAAUUUAGGAUUUGCAAAUCCUAACACAGGGGACGAUGUGAGCUUGUCUAUGAUGUUCUCGAAAGCCUGCUGACAAGCAGAGGUCCAUCUUUCCGCAAAAGGCUCCUUGGGGUGAAAGUAUUUGCCAGGUGGUUGGGUUGGCUUGUUUCUCCUUUGAGUUGGUGGAUAACCAGCAGUCAGGUUGGUCAAAGGCUUCACAAUCUUGGCAUAAUCUUGUACAAAUCUCCGAUAGUAACCAGAGAAACCCAGGAAGAAUUUUAAUUCUUUCAGGGUCUGAGGUCUCGGCCAGGUCUUGAGUGCUUUAACCUUUUCUGGAUCCGUCUCAACUCACUUUUCUGGUGAUAGCUUAAGGCCACUAUCUCUUAGUCGGUUCAAGACACUGAUCAGUCAUUUUUCAUGUUCUUCCAAAGACUUUGAGAAAACAAUCAAGUCAUCAAGGAAAACGAGCACUUCCCUCAAAUGCAUAUCACCCAUGCACUUCUCCAUCAAACGCUGGAAUGUGGAGGGUGCAUUCGUUAUCCCUUGUGGCAUGAGGUUCCAUUCCCAAAACCCUAGAGGGCAGACAAAGGCAGUUUUUUGUUUGUCGCUUUCCUCCAUCUCGAUCUGGUAGUAUCCAGAUUUUAGAUCCAUUACAGAAAACCAUUGAGACCCACUGAGUGCAGAAAACGACUCCUCUAAAUUAGGUAGAGCAUAUGCGUCCCUGAUAGUUUGGAGGUUUAGUUUUCUGUAGUCUACACACAGUCUGAUAUCACCAUUCUUCUUUUUGACGACUACAAUUGGUGAUAAAAAGGGGGACUCAGAUUCCCUGAUAACUCCAGCAUCAAGAAGGGUUUUGAGAUGGCGUCGGACUGCUUCAAAAUCUUGUGGAUGUAUUGGGCGAGGUCGCUGUUUGAAUGGCGUUUCAUCUUUCAGACGAAUGUGAUGUUUGACUUCUGUUGUGUGACCGAAGUCAAGGUCAUGAUGAGUGAAAACAUCAGAGUAGUUAUUUAGCUUCUCGAUUAUUCUUGUCUUCCACUCCUCAGAAAGUGGUGAAUCGCCAAAGUCAAGCUCCAGUUUUUUUCUCUUUUCGACUAGAGGUGGCUGCAUCUCGCUGAUUAUCAGAAGGAAAUGAUUCUUCAUCUGUGUUAGUAGGUUUUUUCAAAAGGAUGAGUAUCUUGGAAAAUGUCUUGAACUACUGCUAGCUCAGCAAUGAUACAGUUAGUUGGUAGUGUUAUAUCAUGUUCGGUUUCGUUUCUCAGUAUUACAGGUACCUUGUAAGGAUGUUGAGUUGGCAUGGUGAUAAGACAACAGUCUGUGAAGAUUCCACCAGGUAAGGAUGACAUCGAUGGAGGCUCCAACAACACCCAUGACUCAUUGGUAAUGGUUCUUGCACCAGCAACUCCUUGUAGUAUGACCUUCUCACCAGCAGGGAUUGUGGCAGGUGUCCUGCCUCUGAGUUUUACUGGUCCAAGUCUACCACUGAAGCUUUGCUGGUGUCGUAGCUGCAGGGUUCUGAGUACUUGGGCAUAACCACAAAAUGUGGUAGAUCUGAGAGUGUUGUCAUCACAGUACUCUUCAUAAAGAGGGUCCAGAGUGUUCCUCCCAAUGAGUACUGGUAUACUGCUGUUUGAGCGAGUGUCUGGUACUAUCAAAGCUAGAGUUUCUACUUCUGGUUCUGAAGCGAUAAACUCUUUAGGAAACUUCAGAUUUAUCGCCACAUAUCCAGCGUAAGGGACAGGUUCGCCAUUAGCUCCUUCAACCUCUAAUAUGUCACUCACAGGUUUGAUUAUGUACUCUAACAGAUGGUCAUUGUAGAACGACUGGGAUAUGGUGGUAACCUGCGAACCUGUAUCGAGUAAGCAGUUGCACCCGACUCCACCAACUUCAACAUUAGCUGUGCUCUUUCGUCCAACAAGUCCUUUUGGGACACUCCUGGCUGGCUCGCCAAGUUUAUGUAACCGUGAUACACACUAAACGUAAGCUUACACUGUGCUAGGUUCGAAAGGAGCUAAGUGAUAUAAACUGUACCCAUAAAAGGAAAUAUCAGACCAGGUAAGUAGUAACCAGUAACUUUUACUCACAUUAAGUUGCAAAAUAACAGUUGAAACACAAUUGUAUAACAUGUAUAUGAAAAAAAAUAAAAAAUAAAAAAUGGGCCCUUUAAAAUAAAUG